rnacentral:rRNA from 1 species
UGAGGAAUAUUGCGCAAUGGGGGAAAUCCUGACGCAGCCAUGCCGUGUGAGUGAAGAAGGCCUUAGGGUUGUAAAGCUCUUUCAGUCGUGAAGAUAAUGACGGUAGCGACAGAAGAAGCCCCGGCUAAAUUCGUGCUAGCAGCCGCGGUAAUACGAAGGGGGCAAGCGUUGUUCGGAAUCAUUGGGCUUAAAGCGUGCGCAGGCGGAUAUGAAAGUCAGGAGUGAAAUCCCAGGGCUCAACCUUGGAAUUGCUUUUGAAACUCCAUAUCUAGAAUCCGGUAGAGGUCAGUGGAAUUCCGAGUGUAGAGGUGAAAUUCGCAGAUAUUCGGAGAAUACCAGUGGCGAAGGCGACUGACUGGACCGGUAUUGACGCUCAGGCACGAAAGCGUGGGGAGCAAACAG